rnacentral:lncRNA from 10 species
GAACAAUGUGAAUGGGAGGAUGUGGAUCUUUUCCACCUCCUUCACAUAUAACCCCUCGGUGCUGGGUCCCAAAGCCCACGAGUUGCUGAAUGGCAGCUUGAGCCUGACCAUACACUUAGGAAUAAUACCUGCCUUUAAGGACUUCCUGUUGGCGCUGCGCCCAGCCGUGUAGCCAGGCAACAGUCUGAUGAGGAAGCUGUGGGAGGAGUGCAGGGAUACAGGUGGUCUGGAUUAGGGGCUUCCAUCCAAAGUGCCAGAGAAGGGGCUUGGCAUCGCACAGGGCUGGAGAACAUGACCACUGCCCACCUGUCUGCCUUCAAACUUCCUGAUCUAACUGCCACUUACCAAGCCUACCUGGCAGCCAAAGCCCUGUGGGUUGCCUAUCAGAACUUGAUGUCCUGCUCUGAGAGAGAGGGACCAUUCCUGGGAGGCACGUAUGCCAAUGCAUGGGAAGCCAGGCUUUCUCAGCUUUUCUCCAGGUGGUGUGACGCUGCUGCUAAUAAUGGUGAUGACAUCAAAACUGCCAAGGGCCUUAGAAAUCUGCUGGUCCAGCACGAAGCAGGGAGAUCACCAAAAAGGGGAGGCAGAGCUGGAAGAGAACACAGCUGUCCUGCCAUCCAGGUCACUACAUGCCAAUGCUGAUAUGCAACAAAAACCAUAUGAGAUUCACAGUAGGAAAGAGUUAACCACAAAGUUAGAAAACUGGUAAAUCUGCAAUGUAAAACAUCCAAUCCAGCACAGACACCCAUUCUUCAUGGGCUGCUCAGGGAUAAGGACAGGAAGGGAAGGGAGGUGGUGUUUUCCUCGUAGUCAGAGAGGUAAUGCUAGAACAAGCUCAAAGAGAUGAAAUAGAGUUCAGAGGACAAAGGCCUCAACCAACAACACCAAGAGAAGAACACUAGGUUUUCAGCUAGAGGAAGAGCUGAGUCUGAGUGCUUGGCCUAGUCAUCAGCCUUCUCUGUGUUCGAGGUCUUUUUUCCUCUCUGGUCAUUAGGUACUUUAAUCAAAAAGACCUUGGGCUGGGCACAGUGGCUCAUACCUGUAAUCCCAGCACUUUGGGAAGCAGGUGGAUCACUUAGCGUCAGGAGUUCAAGACCAGCCUGGCCAACAUGGUAAAACUCUGUCUCUACUAAAAAUACAAAAAUUAACCAGGUGUAAUGGCGUUGUCUAUAGUCCCAGCUACUCAGGAGGCUGAGGCAUGAGAAUCACUUGAACCUGGGAGGCAGGGUUGCAGUGAGCCAAGAUGGCACCACUGCACUCCAGCUUGGGUGACAGAGUGAGACUCCAUCUCAAAAAAAAAA